UGAGGAAUAUUGGGCAAUGCCCGCAAGGGUGACCCAGCAACGCCGCGUGGAGGAUGAAUGUCGUAAGAUUGUAAACUCCUGUUAGAGGGGAAGAAUAGUACCGGUUGGACCGGUAUAUGACUGUACCCUCAGAGAAAGCCCCGGCUAACUACGUGCCAGCAGCUGCGGUAAUACGUAGGGGGCAAGCGUUGUCCGGAUUUACUGGGUGUAAAGGGCGCGCAGGCGGGAUAAAAAGUCAGUGGUGAAAACCUACAGCUUAACUGUAGAACUGCCUUUGAUACUUUUAUUCUUGAGUUCGGGAGAGAGAGACGGAAUUCCAGGUGUAGUGGUGAAAUACGUAGAUAUCUGGAAGAACACCAGUUGCGAAGGCGGUCUCUUGGUCCGACACUGACGCUGAGGCGCGAAAGCGUGGGGAGCAAACA
rnacentral:rRNA from 1 species